GUGGGGAAUAUUGGACAAUGGGCGAAAGCCUGAUCCAGCCAUGCCGCGUGUGUGAAGAAGGUCUUCGGAUUGUAAAGCACUUUAAGUUGGGAGGAAGGGCAGUAAGUUAAUACCUUGCUGUUUUGACGUUACCGACAGAAUAAGCACCGGCUAACUUCGUGCCAGCAGCCGCGGUAAUACGAAGGGUGCAAGCGUUAAUCGGAAUUACUGGGCGUAAAGCGCGCGUAGGUGGUUUUGUAAGUUGGAGGUGAAAUCCCCGGGCUCAACCUGGGAACUGCCUCCGAAACUGCAUGACUAGAGUACGGUAGAGGGUAGUGGAAGUUCCUGUGUAGCGGUGAAAUGCGUAGAUAUAGGAAGGAACACCAGUGGCGAAGGCGACUACCUGGACUGAUACUGACACUGAGGUGCGAAAGCGUGGGGAGCAAACAGGAUUAGAUACCCGUGUAGUCC
rnacentral:rRNA from 1 species